CCUACGGGAGGCAGCAGUGGGGAAUAUUGCACAAUGGGCGCAAGCCUGAUGCAGCAACGCCGCGUGAGGGACGACGGCCUUCGGGUUGUAAACCUCUUUUAGUAGGGAAGAAGCGAAAGUGACGGUACCUGCAGAAAAAGCACCGGCUAACUACGUGCCAGCAGCCG
rnacentral:rRNA from 1 species